rnacentral:rRNA from 1 species
GGAUGCGAUGAUACCAGCACUAAAGCACCGGAUCCCAUCAGAACUCCGAAGUUAAGCGUGCUUGGGCGAGAGUAGUACUAGGAUGGGUGACCUCCUGGGAAGUCCUCGUGUUGCAUCCC